GUGUCAGCCGCCGCGGUAAGACAGAGGGUGCGAACGUUGCUCGGAAUGACUGGGCGUAAAGCGCGUGUAGGCGGCCGUGCACGUCGGGUGUGAAACCCCGGGGCUCAACCCCGGGCGUGCAUUCGAUACGACGCGGCUGGAGGCCUGUAGAGGAGAGCGGAAUUCCCGGUGUAGAGGUGAAAUUCGUAGAUAUCGGGAGGAACACCAGUGGCGAAGGCGGCUCUCUGGCCAGGUACUGACGCUGAGACGCGAAAGCGUGGGUAGCAAACAGGAUUAGAUACCCCCGUAGUCC
rnacentral:rRNA from 1 species